GCCUUCUUAGUUCAGUGGCUAGAAUUUUUCACUAGUAGUGCUCCACCCUCUUCACCCGGGAGUGGACUUGCUUUGAUGAAAGGGUCACCCGUUCGAUUCGGGUAGAAGGCA